rnacentral:rRNA from 1 species
GGAAACAAAGCGUCGUCUACCAUGCAGUCGAGCGGAUGAAGGGAGCUUGCUCCUGGAUUCAGCGGCGGACGGGUGAGUAAUGCCUAGGAAUCUGCCUGGUAGUGGGGGAUAACGUCCGGAAACGGGCGCUAAUACCGCAUACGUCCUGAGGGAGAAAGUGGGGGAUCUUCGGACCUCACGCUAUCAGAUGAGCCUAGGUCGGAUUAGCUAGUUGGUGGGGUAAAGGCCUACCAAGGCGACGAUCCGUAACUGGUCUGAGAGGAUGAUCAGUCACACUGGAACUGAGACACGGUCCAGACUCCUACGGGAGGCAGCAGUGGGGAAUAUUGGACAAUGGGCGAAAGCCUGAUCCAGCCAUGCCGCGUGUGUGAAGAAGGUCUUCGGAUUGUAAAGCACUUUAAGUUGGGAGGAAGGGCAGUAAGUUAAUACCUUGCUGUUUUGACGUUACCAACAGAAUAAGCACCGGCUAACUUCGUGCCAGCAGCCGCGGUAAUACGAAGGGUGCAAGCGUUAAUCGGAAUUACUGGGCGUAAAGCGCGCGUAGGUGGUUCAGCAAGUUGGAUGUGAAAUCCCCGGGCUCAACCUGGGAACUGCAUCCAAAACUACUGAGCUAGAGUACGGUAGAGGGUGGUGGAAUUUCCUGUGUAGCG